GGAAGCCUCGCACUCGUCUGCAGGACUUGAUUUCAUUUUAUCAGUCCUUGUCAGAUAGUGAACUUGUAAAUAUUCGAGACCUUUUUCUUUUCUUGACUAGUUCGAUCCGUGAUGCCCAUAAACCUGGUUCUGGAGCUGAUGAGGCCACUUGUAAGAAGCGUAAAACUUGCGACUCCAAGGUCUUGUGUUCAUGGACCAGUACUGACAUUUUACGUGUUGAAGAAGCAAUGUUUAGAGUACUACGGGCUGUCUCUGGGCCCAAUUGGGUGAGCUGGCGUGCUCUUAGAGGUGCUGUGUGUAAAGCUGGUCCUCCUGAACUCCUUGAUUAUUGCCUAAAGGCACUCCAUGGAAAGCAGGUAGCUGACGGAAUGGUUGUCAAUGUCCGCAGCGUUUCUGGUUCUGGUGCUAUGGAGUACAAAAUUGAACGUUGCAACCCAAUGGUUAAUGUUAAUACAAAUGAGAAUAGAUUGCCUUGUACUCCCAACCUCCCAUCUGAGGAACAUCUGCGUCGAGAUCUGAAGUACUUGUACGAUUGCAUGCUAAACCCAUCGACAAUGUCUAAUCAUGUUCCCUUGAUCAAAAGGGAAAUUGCAGUUGACUCUGCUACUACUGUUCUUGAUUGCAAGCAAUUUUUGAAAGUAUAUCAACCUGAAAAAUUCUUGCCUAUCCUUAAAUCAGAUGCAAUCCAGGUGCUUUGUGAGGUGGAC
rnacentral:misc_RNA from 1 species